UGGGGUUUUACUUAGAAGCUGGUUUAGUUUUGUUCUUAUUUCUUUUGCUUUGCUUGUGUUAGGGUUGGUUGAGAGAGAGAGAGAGAGAGGUGAAAUCUUUAGUCCUAAACUUGCGGGAAUCGUGGGUAACCACUGGGAGGAAGUUGAGAGUGAAGUGUAGUCUUUAAGAAUCCAUCACGAUAGGAAUGGGGGAGGAGGAAGGAGAAGAAAAAAAAAAGAAAAGGGAGUUACUGGUUUCAGAUUUUUGGGGGGAAUUUUGUGAGUGUGAAAUUAGAGGUUGGUGAAGAGAGGGUGGAGGAAGUAAGCGAAGUAGAACCGUGAGCAAUGAAGAUUGGAGGCUGCCAAGGAUAGAGAUAUUGCACAAAUGGGUGAGUUGAGAGGUCGCCGUAAGGACUUCGGAUCAAGAUAGGAAUGCAGAUGCUACUAGAUCUAUAUGAUUGACGAGAGAGGGGAGUACUAUGGGAGUUCAGUUUCAAAGUUUUAUUUAUUUAUGAAAAGGAUUUGUAAUACUUUCUUGAUUUUCUUGUUAGACUCAGAAAUUUCUGUUUUCAUUUGUAAUAACUUUAAGUCUUUGGAAAAAUUUAAUUACAUUGUAAAAUUUUAAGACUUUACUUUAGAUUUUGAUGCUUUUAAGUGACUUUCAGUUUUGAGACGUUACAUUAAUGAUAUCAGAGCAAUGAUUUUGGGACUUUGUAGAGUGAGCUCAUCUAGGUUCUAAUGUGUAACUAUGAUGUUAUAGUGUUUCGUGAUGUGUAAUGCUUAAUGGAAAAGAUUGGUGAUUGCUUACAUUGUUUGGGUCUAUGCUUGAAUGUUGGACGAAAUUGAUGGUGCUGUUAAUGAUCCUGAGGUGGUUACAAUUUUGAUGUCUAUAGUGAAUGUGUAUGUGGUUAUUGGGUGGCUGAUAAUUCCUAAGAUCUGCAUAACAGAGGUUCUGUUUUAGAAUCCAAGGAAAAACCUAAGUGGGCUUUAGUUAACAAGAGGUCUUUUUGAACAUAAUUGAAUUUGAUUCGAACAAGAUUAUUAAUCCUGAAAUUACUUUCUGAUU
rnacentral:sRNA from 1 species